UAGCCAACGACACGUGCC
rnacentral:siRNA from 1 species